rnacentral:rRNA from 1 species
CCUACGGGGGGCUGCAGUAAGGAAUAUUGGGCAAUGGAGGCAACUCUGACCCAGCCAUGCCGCGUGAAGGAUGACGGCCCUAUGGGUUGUAAACUUCUUUUAUACGGGAAUAAACCCGGGUACGUGUACCCGGCUGAAUGUACCGUAAGAAUAAGGAUCGGCUAACUCCGUGCCAGCAGCCGCGGUAAUACGGAGGAUCCAGGCGUUAUCCGGAUUCAUGGGGUUUUAGGCGUGUGUGGAAGGCAUUGGAGAAAGCCUACAGCUUAACUGUAGAACUGCCGUUGAUACUGCAAGUCUUGAGUACAUUUGAUGUGGGCGGAAUGUGUCAUGUAGCGGUGAAAUGCUUAGAUAUGACACGGAACACCAAUUGCGAAGGCAGCUCACAAAACUGUAACUGACGCUGAGGCACGACAGCGUGGGGAUCAAACAGGAUUAGAUACCCUUGUAGUC